rnacentral:tRNA from 1 species
UACGGCGUGGCGAACGCGGUGGGCCAGCCGGUGCUGGGCCGGCUGGUGGACCUGUACGGCCAGCCGCGGGUCCAGCUGCCCGCCGCCGUGG